AUACGGAGGGUGCAAGCGUUACUCGGGAUCACUGGGCGUAAAGCGCGCGCAGGCGGCUAUUUAAGUUGGAUGUGAAAGCCUACGGCUCAACCGUAGAACUGCAUCCAAAACUAUUUAGCUAGAGUGUGGGAGAGGAAGAUGGAAUUAGUUGUGUAGGGGUAAAAUCCGUAGAGAUAACUAGGAAUACCAAAAGCGAAGGCAAUCUUCUGGAACACUACUGACGCUGAGGCGCGAAAGCGUGGGGAGCAAACAGGAUUAGAAACCCUAGUAGUCC
rnacentral:rRNA from 1 species